rnacentral:rRNA from 1 species
GUAGGUGGCAAGCGUUGUCCGGAAUUAUUGGGCGUAAAGCGCGCGCAGGCCGGGUUUUUUAAGUCUGAUGUGAAAGCCCACGGGCUCAACCGUGGAGGGUCAUUGGAAGCUGGAGAACUUGAGUACAGAAGAGGAAAGCGGAAUUCCACGUGUAGCGGUGAAAUGCGUAGAGAUGUGGAGGAACACCAGUGGCGAAGGCGGCUUUCUGGUCUGUAACUGACGCUGAGGCGCGAAAGCGUGGGGAGCAAACAGGAUUAGAUACCCUGGUAGUCCACGCCGUAAACGAUGAGUGCUAAGUGUUAGGGGGUUUCCGCCCCUUAGUGCUGCAGCUAACGCAUUAAGCACUCCGCCUGGGGAGUACGGCCGCAAAGGCUG